AGAUAAUUGGGUUAUUCGUGAAUGUCAUGAUGCCCUCUUCCCUCCCAAUCAGAGAGCCUAUGUUAUAUGUAGGUUACUGAAGAAAAC